CAUAAUUAAAUCCACUUAAAUAUAUUUUAUUGUAACUCAUUUUAACUUAAAAAUAAACUACACCUUGAUUUGAUAUUAAUUUUAAUAUAAAUUAUAGAAAAUUAUUAUUCUUAUAAAAUAUUCUAAUAACAACGAUAUAUAAAUUGAAUAACAAUUUUAAGUAAGGUACAUCGUGGAUUAUCGAUUAAAAAACAAGUUCCUCUGAAUAGACUAAAAUACCGCCAAAUUUUUUAAGUUUCAAGAAUAUAACUAAUACUACUCAAAUAAAUUUAUUUAUAUUUUAAAUAAUAGGGUAUCUAAUCCUAGUU
rnacentral:rRNA from 1 species